rnacentral:rRNA from 1 species
CCUACGGGCGGCAGCAGUGAGGAAUAUUGGUCAAUGGGUGCGAGCCUGAACCAGCCAAGUCGCGUGAGGGAGGACGGUCCUACGGUUUGUAAACCUCUUUUGCCGGGGAGCAACGGGCUCCAUGUGUGGGGUCACUGAGAGUACCCGGAGAAAAAGCAUCGGCUAACUCCGUGCCAGCAGCCGCGGUAAUACGGAGGAUGCGAGCGUUAUCCGGAUUUAUUGGGUUUAAAGGGUGCGUAGGCGGGCUGUUAAGUCAGCGGUCAAAUGGCGGGGCUCAACCCCUGCCCGCCGUUGAAACUGGCGGUCUUGAGUGGGAGAGAAGUAUGCGGAAUGCGUGGUGUAGCGGGGAAAUGCAUA